AAGAGGAGUUUAAGAAAACAAUGGCGGAGAUAUUGGGAAGUAUAAUGUUGCAGCUUGAGGGUAGUCCCAUAUCGGUCUCCUCUAACUCAGUGGUUCACGAGCCGCUCACCUCCGCCACCUUCCUGCCGGCGCCUCCGGCUGAAGCAGAUGAGCCUUCUAAUUAACUAGAGUCGUUUUAAGUGGGGAGAAACAAGAACAAAAAUGGUUACGGUUAUGAGUUUUUACCCCCCUUUGAGUAUUUAAAUAUUUGAGGAAAACCAGCUUACUUUGGGAUGUGUAAGAAAAAAAAAAGCCUCUCUUCAUUUCUUUCGGAUGAUAAAAGAGAAAUGGGCGUUUUUAGUACUGAAUACAUUCAAAGAUUGUGGUUUCAUCGUAUGGGAGUGGUGAUUAUGCUCAUGUGGCUUUGUCUUUAUUUUCAUCAUGGAAUGCAAUGUUUUAGUAUGUUUUUUUUAAUUUUAUUUUCUGUCUUGAAUCAUGCAUCUUAAUUACGUUGACUCUGUCAUGGGUAGCGGGCAAUAAUCUUUUACUCUUGAGUUUUUAUAAUUACCAGACGACUUACACUUCAGUCGUCCAGACGACUUACACUUCAGUCGUCCAGACGACUUCCAACAUCUCAGACGACUCAGACGAUUUACUGGGGCUAUAUUCGUAAAAAUGGCUUCUGUUUUUUUGUUUGGUCACAAGGGGCUGAGCUGUAAUUUCACUAGGCUUUUAGGUUAGUUUUGCAUUUGAUUCAAAUUUGGGUAUAGGUUUGGAAUUAAAAUCAAGUUGUGGGUUAGUUUUGGCAAAAACCCCUUUCUUUAUUGUCUUGGAAUUGUCCUACUUAUUACGUAGACUAUUAUAUUACUGACAAAAAGUUUAAAUGGAAUCUCAGAAUUUUACUAUAGUUGUAUAAGUUAUCUUCUUGAUAUAUGUGUAGGGUUUGGUGGUUACAUUUUAUUUUAUUUUUGCGUUGAGUGAUAGGUGAAAAAAUAAAUUAAAGCAGAUGUUUUAAUAAUGGUAAAUAACUUUGGUCGGUGACCUUAUCCUAGAUCAUAUCUCAAGUUAGCCCCUCGUGUCGCUCUCUUCGCUGCCGUCUCAUGCUAGGAACAUCGCUUUUUGAAUCCUCACCUACUUAUUCUUAACUACUGUAUUAAACAUUAAUCAACUGGCUGUUAUAAUAUAUUGCGUAUUUGAUACGUCAUAUAGAAGCUUUCGUUCGUGUCACCAAUAUUUUUCGACUGACAUUUCGUAAAAAAAUUCAAAAAAAUUCAAAUACAGCUUUUUAAUAACGAAAACCCUAGUUUAUAUCAAUUUUCCCAUGUGUUCCAAAUAAUUCAAUAACACACAAGAAGAAAAAUACAGACCCUUGUUUUCUAUAGAUGUGUGAACCAAAACCAAAAAGAUAACUUCUAUUUACCGACAUGGAAUCUUGAACCUACAUUAAAUAUGGUAAACCUACCUCGUGUUUCGCAUGAAUCACGUUGAUUAAUCGAUUAGACCAAAGAGGACUUUGAAUAAAUACAUAAUUGUGUAGUUCGUAGUCAUUCACUAAUUAAGAUUCGCUUAUUGAAAAAACAUAUCCAAGUAAAACCAAAUUCGAAUCUUUCUCUCAUUGGAUUUAGAUCAAUACUCAAUUAUUUAUCGUUAGGUUUUGUUUUUGGUGUAUUUAAAGAGUAGACAACGAGAUCAAAGCAUUAAGCUUCUAUCUGUCUCGUCCGUACAUUUAUUUCAUCAUUUUGUAACGUUAUAAUAAACUAUUGUUCUACAGUUCUAGUCUAAGAUGCUUUAAUUGAUUUCCUUUUCUGCUUCAUUGCGAGAUCAAUACUCAAUUAUUUAUCGUUAGGUUUUGUUUUUGGUGUAUUUAAAGAGUAGACAACGAGAUCAAAGCAUUAAGCUUCUAUCUGUCUCGUCCGUACAUUUAUUUCAUCAUUUUGUAACGUUAUAAUAAACUAUUACAGGUCUUAAACGAAUUCACUCAUGGAAGUCAAGAGAAAGUGAGCAAGACAGAGUUCAAAGAAGUGUUGUCAGAUAUUUUGUUGGGCAUGGCUGCUGGUUUAAAACGCGACCCCAUCGUCAUCCUCAGGAUGGACGGUGAGGAUCUGUCGGAGUUUAUCCACAGCCCUGGAUACGAAGCUGAGAUCGUCUCCAUCUACUUCUCAGCGCUGUCUGGCUGCGAGGAAGCAUCGCUCCGUGAUUGCAUCGCCAAAGCUCUCCAGUCACUUUCUGUUGAUCAUGGAAUGCCUCCUUCUAACGAUCCAUGGGUACUUACUUUAGUUUAUAUAUAUUACUUAUUUUUUGAACUAAUUGUGGUUUUAACUUCGAUGUCAAAAAAAAAAAGAACUGUGGUUUAAACUCCUUUUUCAUAUACUUUUAAAUGUACAGCGUAUAUUUAGCAUAAAAAUACUUGAUUCACCCAAAAUCCUAAAUUAAAAUAUAAUAAGCAACGUAUAUUGAGACCAAUGAGCCUGUCUAAAAAGCUAAGUUAUUGUUUCAGGUAAUAAGCAACAUUGUCGAACCGAUCGUUGAAUCUUGUCUUGAUGAGGAAGAUAAGAGAGAGAAGUGUGUGUCCCAGGAGAGAUUCUUGGAAGCAUUCAAGAGAGUCGUAGAGAGAGUGGCUCAACGUCUCAAUGAACAGCCCGUGAUCGUGGCCCACAGCGAAAACACCUUCGAUGGGAGCGGCAUCAGGAGGCUCCUGUCCAAUAAAUUCGAAUUCGACAAGGUAAACUUUCAUACAUAUAUAUGAACAAGAAGAGAAGUCUUGAAAUGAUGAUAUCACAAGCCAUAACCCGGAAUGUUUUGGUUGUACGUAGGCAUUAAACGUUGCGUUGGAGAUAAUCCCAAAAGACCGUCAUGGUAAGGUAUCCAAAGAGUAUCUACGAGCUGUGCUCGACACUGUUGCACCAUCUGCGACUUUACCACCAUUAGGUGCAGUGUCCCAGGUAAACAAUAUAUACCCCAUCUAGAUGUUUUGGAGUUGUCGAUUGUUUUUGUGCGUGUACGUUCAUGUUUGCAUGUUAUGGGCUUCUAUUACUUUUUAAAUUGAAAUCACAACUAAUGUUUAAGUGAAUUUGUGUUACUGGUAGGAGAUGCUUUUUAUCAGUUAUUCUUUUAGACUUUUAGUUGUAAUUGCGGGUCUUCUAACGUGCAAAUGCAUAGAUAAGUUAAAAUUUGUAACGAUAUAAAUGUUUAGUCUUGAGUAGUGUUUUUAUUUCAGCAACAUGUUGAUUAGAUAUUUUGUUGUGUGUUUGUUUGUUUGAAGAUGGAUGAUAUGAUGAGGGAAGCGCUGAAGAUGGUGAAUGGAGAUGAUGGAAAGAUGGUGAAGGAAGAGGAGUUUAAGAAAACAAUGGCGGAGAUAUUGGGAAGUAUAAUGUUGCAGCUUGAGGGUAGUCCGAUAUCGGUCUCCUCUAACUCAGUGGUUCACGAGCCGCUCACCUCCGCCACCUUCCUGCCGGCGGUUCCGGCUGAAGCAGAUGAGCCUUCUAAUUAACUAUAGUCGUUUUAAGUGGGGAGAAACAAGAACAAAAAACGUUAUGGUUAUGAGUUUUUACCCCCCUUUUAAGU
rnacentral:lncRNA from 1 species